rnacentral:pre_miRNA from 1 species
AGGAGGAUGGGAGGGUACGGAGGGGGAGCAGCUCCAUACCUUCCCCUUCGUACCCUCCCCUCCUCCUC